rnacentral:rRNA from 1 species
UGGGGAAUAUUGGACAAUGGGCGAAAGCCUGAUCCAGCCAUGCCGCGUGUGUGAAGAAGGUCUUCGGAUUGUAAAGCACUUUAAGUUGGGAGGAAGGGCAGUAAGCGAAUACCUUGCUGUUUUGACGUUACCGACAGAAUAAGCACCGGCUAACUCUGUGCCAGCAGCCGCGGUAAUACAGAGGGUGCAAGCGUUAAUCGGAAUUACUGGGCGUAAAGCGCGCGUAGGUGGUUCGUUAAGUUGAAUGUGAAAGCCCCGGGCUCAACCUGGGAACUGCAUCCAAAACUGGCGAGCUAGAGUAGGGCAGAGGGUGGUGGAAUUACCUGUGUAGCGGUGAAAUGCGUAGAUAUAGGAAGGAACACCAGUGGCGAAGGCGACCACCUGGGCUCAUACUGACACUGAGGUGCGAAAGCGUGGGGAGCAAACAGG